CGUACGGUCGGCGGCGGGCGUCCCGAUCCUCGCCUGGGGCGGAGAGGGGAGCGCGCGUCCCCCUCCGCCGCAUUCCGUCCGUCCCAUUCACUGCUCGCUCGCGGUGUGCGGAGAGCCGACGGAAGUGUCGAGUGUGUGCCGUGCGGUGUCAUCUGCCGUCUCCUCUUCCGACCUGCAGGAACGCAGGAUGCGAGGAUCGUCGGGCGACACCACCACUCGAGAUUCGUAGAUCGAUGGACGGAGCGGCAGCCGCGACGCGACGACGUGUGUCGUAAUGUGUCGGGAUGUGACCCGGAAAUGGCUGUGUAUUUAUCCCAGAAAUACAUUUAUUCCGAAUAUUGACUUUGUCGGUAACGCGGGAACUCGUGGGUCUUUUUAGCAUUCCUGGUCAACCGGCUCAAGAUGCCCGAGUCGGAGAUGCCCGAGUCGGAGGUGUGCUGAGCCGCUGUU